UGGGGAAUAUUGCACAAUGGGGGAAACCCUGAUGCAGCGACGCCGCGUGGAGGAAGAAGGUCUUCGGAUUGUAAACUCCUGUCGUUGGGGACGAUAAUGACGGUACCCAACAAGAAAGCCACGGCUAACUACGUGCCAGCAGCCGCGGUAAAACGUAGGUGGCAAGCGUUGUCCGGAAUUACUGGGUGUAAAGGGAGCGCAGGCGGAAGGACAAGUUGGAUGUGUAAUACCCAGGGCUUAACUCGGGUGCUGCAUCUAAAACUGUUAGACUUGAGUACUGGAGAGGAUAGUGGAAUUCCUAGUGUAGCGGUGGAAUGCGUAGAUAUUAGGAGGAACAUCAGUGGCGAAGGCGACUAUCUGGACAGCAACUGACACUGAGGCACGAAAGCGUGGGGAGCAAACAGGAUUAGAUACCCUGGUAGU
rnacentral:rRNA from 1 species